GCUGGGCGGUCACAUCUGGAAAUGGAAAGCCGACCUCCCCCUCCUCCUCCACCUCCUCCUCCUCCUCCUCCUUCUCCUCCUCUCACCCAGGAUCACUUCCGAAACCAGUUGGCCUUCAGCCCCUGCCUCGGCCAGAGGUUUCAUUUUUAACUGAAUAUUUACGAAAGCUGAAAGCGUGCGAGGGGGGUGGGGUGGAAAUAGCGGCUGCUUCUUUUCCAAGGAUUUAUUUAAUGGGGAUGUGUUCAAGGCAAGACCGAAUUCAGAAGGAUAUCGACGUCGUGAUCCAGAAGUCCAGAGCUGAGGACUGCCUGUUUGCAGCCUACUUGUGAAGACAAGGAUGAAGACCUCCAUGAUGAGCCAUCUCCACUUAAUGACUGUCUCACAUUGGCCGGCAACUUGUUCCAGAUGAAAUCUUGCUCUGUCACCCAGGCUGGAGUGCAAUGGCUCGAUCUCGGCUCACUGCAACCUCCACCUUCUGGGUUCAAGCAAUUCUCCUGCCUCAGCCUCCUGAGUAGCUGGGAUUACAGAUGGAGUCUCACUGUGUCCCCAGGCUGGAGUGCAGUGGCGCGAUCUCAACUCACUGCAAGCUCUGCCUCCCGGGUUCACGCCAUUCUCCUGCCUCAGGCUCCCGAGUAGCUGGGACUACAGGCGCCCGCCACCACUCCCGGCUAAUUUUUUUUGUAUUUUCAGUAGAGACGGGAUAUCACCAUGUUAGCCAGGAUGGUCUCGAUCUCCUGACCUCGUGAUCCGCCCUCCUCAGUCUCCCAAAGUAUUAGGAUUACAGGCGUGAGCCACCGCCCCCGGCCCUCAAAGAUUGUUAUGAGUCCUCACAGAUGUCAGAGGACGAUGCUGUGACCUAUAUUUGCAAACGCCCGGAAGACUUAAAGCUAUUGUUUUGCAAAUGCACAGAUAACAAUAAUAACAUGAUGCUGUGGAUGAGCAUGAAAGUUUUUCUCUUACUCCUAAUUAUAAUGUUUUCCCUCUUACUGCUUUGCCCUGCUGAUGGAAUUCAGUAAAGGAAUCUCUACCAGCAGACACUUGGUUUUUACCCUUCCUAGGACCUUUAAUAGAUAUCUUUUUAUUACUAAUCUUUGCUCUUUGCUUGUUUAACCUCCUUGUAAAGUUUGUGUCUUCCAGAUUACAAUAAUUCCAUGUAAAGAUGAUGCUGGCACAAGGCUUUCAACCCAUCCCCUCUUCUGACCCAGAAGAUAAAGACAUCCUACCUUUGAGCCUUUUAGAACAGGUAUCCAGGGAUUUUACCUCUCCAGUGCUAGGCAGGGUCUAUGCCCAUAACAUCAGCAGGAAGCAGUUACAGAAGAUGAACCUCCGCCCUUCUGCAAGCCCCUUAAGAUUAAGGAGGAGUAUAUAAUCUCUGAUGGGGAAAUGAGGUAGGAGACCAGAAGGACUUAUUUUCCAUUCCCAACCCCAUUGAACAGAGCAGGAUCUGGUCAAAACAGGGUGCAGUGGAGAAGCCUGCUGAAACCAGCAGAUGAUGAUGAAAGUGACCUCUAGUUGCCCUCACUGCUUAUGAGCAUAAAGACACUACCACUGGGACCAUGGCCAGUUUACAAAUGUCAUGGCAACACACCUUGGCAAUGGCCUGGAAGUUACUUUAUAUGGUUCUGGAAACUCCCUGCCCCUUUCCCAGAAAGUUCUGAAUAACCUACCUCUUAAUUGGCAUGCAAUUAAAAGUGGCUCUAAAUACAACUAGCUAGUAGCCCACAGGCACAAACUCUGGGCACACUGCCUAUAGGUUAGCCCUGCUCUGCAAGAAGUAGCACCAGUUCAAUAAAAGUUGCUUUCUCUC
rnacentral:lncRNA from 1 species